rnacentral:lncRNA from 1 species
UCCUUCCAGAAGAACCACUUCACUGUGACGAGUGUGGGUUGGAGCAGAGCUUAGAAGGAAGGGAGAUGCCAUCCUCACCAGGUAAACACUGGUCCUGCAUCUGCAGACACCACAGGAACUUCUGGCCAGAACACUACUUCCAAAGCCCAGGUAAGAUUUUCUGAGAGGUUGACUGAAGAAAUUGCAAGAAAUAGAGAUCCACAUAGAGUGCCCACUUCUGACCUGGACAUUUGGAAGGAUUGGGUGGCCUUCAGUUGAAGGUGGAAGAGUCUGAGCCAACAGAUCUGGAUCUCCAGUUCAGUUGGACACAACCCUAACUUGUGCUGAGAAUCAAUAUGGAAGCUUGAGGGGCUGAUUGUUGAAGAAAAGCUGAAAAGAAAAAAUAUGUCAUUGAUUCUUGAAAACUUUUACCCAAGGGAAGCUCCUUCUUUGGAGUUCAAAGAAGAACCUAAGCUCUUUGAAAACUGUUCUUGAGAUCACUAGGAAGCUUCUCUGUUGGCCACAAGAAUUGCUCCAAAAAUUAAAACAAAAGGAUAUGAGAUGUCCACAUUUUCUGAUCACUUGGAUCAAUGCGCCAACAUCUUGGGCUGGAAUUUGGAGAAGCAGAUGGGAUAUGCAAGAGAGGUUCCUGGAAGAAACUGGUGGCAGGAUGGGGGUGGGUAGGCCAGCAGGCCAGGAAAAGAGAGACCCCAGGUGAAGGUGUCCUAUCUGGUGGUUACAGCCUCAGUCUGGUCACACUGGGGGCUCACACUGUGAUCCAAAGCUGCAGAUGGACUGAUUUGCAAGGGACCCAGGAGCCACUAGAGCAGUUCCCUGAAAGUAAGGGCCCUGGGCAUCAGGAGAUGUGUCCUGGCACACAGAGGCAUGGCUGGG